UACGUAGGGGGCGAGCGUUGUCCGGAUUUAUUGGGCGUAAAGAGCUCGUAGGCGGCUUGGCAAGUCGGGUGUGAAACCUCCAGGCUCAACCUGGAGACGCCACUCGAUACUGCCAUGGCUAGAGUCCGGUAGGGGACCACGGAAUUCCUGGUGUAGCGGUGAAAUGCGCAGAUAUCAGGAGGAACACCGGUGGCGAAGGCGGGUCUCUGGGCCGAUACUGACGCUGAGGAGCGAAAGCGUGGGGAGCGAACAGG
rnacentral:rRNA from 1 species